CAGUGUUGGCUGUUUUUAAAAAAAAUCCCUUAGGUCUUGGGGCAGCACUAAUUAGCAAAGUGUAGUAAAAGGAUUGCAGCCUAGGGCUAUGCUUGUUGUAACUUUUGUACAAUAGCACCUUUACUAGAUAAUACGUGUUUAAAGCACCUAGGAAGCUUUGCUUUUCCGAAAGACUG
ensembl:misc_RNA